rnacentral:rRNA from 1 species
UACGGAGGGUGCAAGCGUUAUCCGGAUUUAUUGGGUUUAAAGGGUGCGUAGGCGGCGGUUUAAGUCAGUGGUGAAAUCCUGCAGCUCAACUGUAGAACAGCCAUUGAAACUGAAUCGCUUGAGUGAUCUUGAGGUAGGCGGAAUGUGUAGUGUAGCGGUGAAAUGCUUAGAUAUUACACAGAACACCGAUUGCGAAGGCAGCUUACUAAGGAUUUACUGACGCUGAUGCACGAAAGUGUGGGGAUCAAACAGG